AGCUGGGUGGCGAUUUCGUGAGUAAACCCCAAAAACAUAUCGGAAAUUAUGGCUGACGGCGGCGAAGGGUGGUUGCGGAACCAUUCCAAUAUGGGAUCUCGAAGUUUUCCGAGAUUGUACAUCAUGGAACGGAACCCAUUAGCAGGAAGGUCCUUGACGUUCUCUACGCCGGCGGGAAUUGAAGGGUGAGAUGGAAAAGGCAAAACGAGAGUUUUUAUUGAUGGAUUCCUGGAGAGAAGAGGGUCUAAGAUUGGGAGAUUCUUGGGGGUGACUAAAAUAGUGAUGGCUACUCCAUUGUUGACUAGCUGAUGAGUGAAAUCCAGAAGGGGAAGCAUAUGGCCUUGUGCUGGAUAAGGAAAGAUGAGAACAUGAGGGUGAUUUUCAGACAUUUUUCUCAAUUGCCGAUGAGUGGAGCCGCCGGACCGGCGUUCAGGCGCUGAAUAUUGGGAGAAGAAGAAAAGGAAAAUGGGAAAGUGAUUAAACUUUCAAGGCCAAAGAAACAAAUGUGUGAUUUGGUGGUUUCCUUUUUUUCUACUUAAUUAAGAGAGCAAAUGGAAAUAAUUUUCUACCACAUUUUAUUUGAGUCAAUAACUCAUUAGUAGACCAACAACAUUUAACUAAUUAUUAUCUUGACCGUUGACUACUAUAUUUUUGAAUAUUUUUCUCUAAAAUGGAAAAAGUAAUUAAUACUCCAUGAUACUCUUUUAUUUCAAGCUAUAAAUAAUAUAGUCCACUUUUGAAUUUAACUAAUUUUUAAAGUUAAUUUAGAUCAUAUUAAUUUGAUAUUUUGAAUAAAAAUUUUAAAUGUUUAAAUUUUUCUGCAUAUCAAUGUGAUAGUAAAUUAUCACAAAAUGUUAGUCAAAGUUCUUGUAGUUUGACUCUAACAAAGAAAAUCAUGAUAAUUAAAAAUGAACGGAUGAAGUAAUCUUUAAACAAUAUUUCUUAUGUUCUUAUUUAAUUAUCGUCUUUAAUAUUUGUCAUUUCAUAAAAUCAAUGCAUAAAUGAUAUUAUUUUUUCUAAUUUACCGUUGAAAGUUAUUAGAACUGAAAAUAUAUAUUUGAUCAACAUAGAAAAAAAUAAGUAAACAAAUUUCCAUUCAUUGGUCAAAUUAACUAAUUAAAACAAAUCAACUCAUGUUCAUUGAUUGAAAACUUACCUAAUUUCUUAAAUGACGUGAAAUCUAAAAUGGUGACAACUAAGGCCUAAUUUGUUUCAAUUAAAAUUAAGACGUCUGAUUUUGAAUACGCAUGUGCAUUAAGAUUAUAGAUGUCUAGAUCGGAAUACACAUAUAAAUAUUAAGAUGUGGUCUCCAAAUUUUAAGACUAAAUGAUUAACUGAUUGUUUUCAAUAUCUGAAUAUGCAUAUGAAAUUAUAUAAAUUUGAUUGAUAUUAAAACUCUCUUAAAGAUUUAAUUCGUUCAGAUAUUUUCAGAUCCAUGAAGAGGUUUGUUUUUUUUUUUUACUAUGGACUUAAUUGAGUGAAUUUAAAUGAUUAAGCUUCAACCUUAAAAUCAAGCACAUUUAAUAGGAUAAAUAUAAAUGAUGCAUUAAGCGUAACAAACGAAGCCUAAAUUGGAACAACGAAAGUGAUAUAUUUCAUUCCCGUAUGGUCCCAUACUCCCAUUUGUUUGGUAUAAAGUCCACAAACAUAUAUUUUGUUAAGGAUAAUUUUAAAAUUUUCCUAAAUCUUUUCACAUUUCUUAAACUUUAUUUAGUCAAAUUGUGUUAUAUAAAUUUACACGGGAAAGUAUUCGAUUGAAAAUAGAAAAAAUAUUAAUUGCAAUCAAUAAAAGAUUCUUACCAUUAGAGCUAUAUAUGCCUAAAAGUUGAAGAGAUUAUAGAUAUUUUCCAUGACCAUCUUUAGAGGAGUAUUUAGUUAACAAUAUGCAAUCUUUUCAUUUGUCAAUCUGACGUGUGUUAAGUAUAUUUUACAUUGGGAAAAAGAACAAAUAUAUUCUCGAACUUUCGAAAAUGGUAUGUCAAUACCCUCUGUCAUACUUUUCGUCCGUCACUGCCAUUGCCGUCCAAUAAUCAGUGCACAUUUGCCCCUCCCACUAACGGAACAUUCAUUUUGUACACGUGGCACUAUCCUAAGCCAUAAUCCGAAUUGACCAAUUAUUUAACCCAAAUUUUAAAAAUCCACCAUAAUCCAUUUAACCCACCCGAUUUACCCACAACAAACUAUGAACCAAGUUCAGCCAAUGUAGACACCAAAAGAACACAUGGAAUUUCUAUCAAGUUCUUGAAGUCUCUAAAGCUUUAGCUCCUCCGCAAGUUUUAUCUAAAUCACUUUUUCCUGCUGCCCCUUCUUAUAUUGGGAGUGGUAAUGGUAUUUUACCGGAGGAUAUUGCCGCCUAGUUAGAUGAAUCAGCCAUUGUUUUCGGUAACCCUUUUUCUUUUGCAUCUUUUAAAACUUUUCAGCUUAUUUAUGGAACACAUUAUGUCUGCAAAUACCCCUUUUCACUGAUAUGUUUUUUAUUGGGAAAAAAACAAAGAAAUUUGGUAAUUUGACUUUUUUUGUUUGUUUAUUUUUGUUUUCAAGUGAAACUCAUUUUUUUAUUUUUGGAGUUUUUUGGUGAGUUUUACUUUCUUUUUUUGAAUUAAUGGGAAAACCAACAGCUUCUUGAAAGAAGCUGAGUUUGGGGACAGUAAUGGUGGACAUUAAUGGUGACACAACUGUUACUUUAUGAUUUCUUGAAAUCAUUAACAAGUGUAUUGAAUUUAUUUUUGCUUUUAAGAGAGACCGUUUUUACUCUCUCCGGGUUUUGCUUUGAUUAUUUUAAUAAUUUAACAUCCACCAACAAUCAUUCUCUCCAUUUUCUCUGUUAUAAGAAAAACAUUAAAUUAUUUGUCUCUUCGGUUUUGGGGAUCUGUAAUUUUUAAAUUCUUAAUGAUCCCAUUUUUCUAUAAUUUUUAGUACUAUCUAUUAUUUCAUCGAUUGAUUUUUUUAUAUGUGGUGUACAGCAGCAGGAUGUUUCACCACGCACAUCUGGACGGCUCUCUCAUAGUAAUGGACCUUUAAAUGGUGGAUCUCUUACAUGGGUUCUCAGGGGCGGCUCAACGUAAUCGGAGGCCUAAAACGAAAUCUUAAUUAGAGGCCUAAAAUCUAAAUAAACUUCACAUGCAUUUAUUUAAAAUUUAUUUUUCUUACAUUUUUAAAUGCAAAGUAUUACUUAAUAAUUUUUUUUAUAUAUAAAUGAUUUAUUCGAUUUCUUUUUCAAUUAUUAAGUUUUAAAUAAGAUUUUAUUAAUUCAACGUUGAAAAAUAUUAUUUUACUCGGGCAAGCAUUAUAUGAAUUGUUAACAUAGUUCUACAAGUAAUAAGUUGACAAAUUUCAAAUAAAUAUAAGAGUUAGAACCAUAGCUUUGAUGAAGUUGAUAAUUUGGUUACCCCACAUUUUACUAUGGUUGUUGUAAUGCUUGAAAAUCUAAGAAGAAAUGGAAAAAGAAUUUACAAUUCAAUUUGUUCAACACUUUUCGACUAUUAAAUGAUAUUUUUGAUAAAAUAUUACUCUAAUUUAUCAACAAUUUAAAGAAGAGUGUAAAAGGAGUUAAAAAGAAAAUAAUGUGAGUAUUAGUAGAGAGAGUGUAAGAAAAUAAAACAAUAUUUUCUUGAUUUUUUCUAUUUGAAUUGGGUUGAAGAGAAUAAAAUAAUAAUUUUAAAUAUAUACUUUUUAUUAUAAAUAAUAGCCCUGUGGGUUCUUUUGUGUCUCCGACGGUGAUGGCCGAUUUAUUGGCUGAACUUAGGUCCAUAGUUUAUUUAUGGGUAAAUUGGGUGGGUUUAAUUGGUUAUGGGUGGGUUUUUGAAAAUUUGGAUUAAAUAAUUGAUCAACUCGGGUUGUGGCUUAGGAUUGUGCCACGUGUACAAAAUGAGUGGUCUAUUAGUGGGAGGGGCAAAUAUGCACCGAUUAUUGGACGGCAAGAGCACUGAUGGACGAAAAGUAUGACGGAGGAUAUUGGCAUACUAUUUUCGAAAGAUCGCGGGUAUAUUUGUCCUUUUUCCCUUUUACAUUUGAGGAGUUCUAUUUUUAUUUUUUACGAUUUGAUUUUUUUCUAAACCAUUUGAGAAGUUAUUGACUUCUACAAACUUUAAAAUGUAUUUCCUUAAAUCAAAUGAAUUUAAAACACAUUUAAAGUUUUUUUCAUAGUUUUAUAUUGAAUAGUUAAGUGUGAGAGUAGUUUCAUAUUAAAUUAUUGAGUAUGUGAGUUUCUUAUCUGAAUUGUAAUCAAAUACUUAUGGAAACACAAUUUAACUAUCAUUUUUUCUCUUUUGUAUCUAAAAUAUCAUCAUUGUUUGAAAAAUGAUCAAGUUUUUAAAAAAAAAUAUAAAUUCAAGGGAAACAUAACCUUAAAAAUGGUAAGUUUGAAAAUUAUCUCUAUCUUGUUUUACAAAUAUUUGAUUCAAAUUUGUAUGUCCUCACCAAUCAAUCAAAGUAUGCUUCUGAUUUGAUAUAGAUGUUUGUUGUAGCAAGGUUCUUUAGUAGCCUUAAAAAUCUAUUAUGUCUUAAUAUAUACGAUACAUUUUUUAAGAUUAAUUUUUAAAAAAUGAUAUAUGCAUUUUGAUAAAUAUUUAAUGACACUACUAAUAUUUUAUUCAUAUCACAUAUUUGACAAAAAAAAAUCAAUAAAGUUGCCACAUAAGUUUGGUCAAUAGUCAGAAGGGCUUAAAAUAUUAAGUUUGAUUGAAUUUAAAGGUUCAGUUGAAAAAUGAUCAAAUAGAAGAAUUCAUAAUAUAAGCUCGUACUAUAUUGUUGAAUGUUAAAGAAAGUUUGUGGAAAAUACAAAAAAGCAGACCAAAUAUAUCCACUAGCCUGACCUACAACAUUGGAAAAGUCGGUAACGUCGAUCACUAUGAGGGUAGUUGGUUUAAUUUAUAAUAACGAUUUGACUUUAUAUACUAUUCCUAUUAGACAAUUAUAUUUAAAAAAUAAAAUACUUAUAAACAAAAGUCCUUUUUUUCAUUUUUUGUAAAUAGCUUUGAAAGCAUUUUAGUCAUUUAACACAAGCAUUUUUUCACCAAACAUAUUAAUUGCAUAUUAUUAGAUUCACCAAACAUUUUUGCUUAUUAUUAGAUUCAACGUUCAAAUUUGCGAACACUUGACCUAAUGUUUAUUUCCAUAUCUAAUAGAUAAAAUAAUCUAUGCUUACAUAUUGGUAUUGUAAACGAUAAAUCCAACGAAGUAGCCUUUCUAGAAUUUUUAAUUGCCUCAAAUGUUUGUUUUACACUUCGAUUUUUGUAGCCUCCUCCCUUAAUUUUUUUACGAACGCUGCCAAAUCUUUGAAAGAGUUCCCACCUUCUUUAAUGCCAUUAAUUGCAACUUUUCGUAGCUCCGAUGCACGAAGUCUUCGCUCUUCUACGUUGUUUCCUUGCACAGCUUCCGCCAGUAAGUUAGCCAACUCGUCCGAAUUUGGUACCGUUUGCGCACCUUCACAAGCUCUAAUAGCUACCUCAUGCUCGUCAACUAAAAGGUUCGCAUUGGCAAAUUGGUCAGCACCCAUCGGCCAUGUUAACAUUGGUACACCGGCUAUUAAACUUUCGAGAGUCGAAUUCCAACCACAGUGAGUUAAGAAUGCGCCUAUAGCUUGGUGUUUUAAAAUCAACACUUGCGGGGCCCAGUCUCUAACAAUCAGGCCCCGUCCAGCCACUUUUUCCUCAAACCAAGACGGAAUCACGCCGUAAUCAUUUGAAGCGUGUCCUUUGGUGGCUCUUUUUGCUGACAAAAUGAACUUGACACCACUUUUGUCCAAAGCUAUGGCUAAUUCCUCCAUUUGUUUGUUUGUUAACACAGCUUGACUGCCGAAACAGACGUAUACAACCGAGUGAUCUUCACAUUUGUCGAGCCAUGCUAGUAUUUCACUAGCUAAAACAGAGCUCGAACCGCCUCUGUUUGAUUGGCCGGAGACAUCAUCUUCUCCCGGAGGAAGUACUGGUCCAACAGACCAAAACCCUGUUGUGACCCAAAUCUUUCAUCAGAUAAUUCAAAUACACAUUUUCCAAUUCCAUAAACGUGUUGAAAACGAUUCCGUCACUUGCUAUAUCAGCGAGAUAGCAUUCUCUGAUGAAGUCCGAACUUGGGUCUCCUACAACAUAACUCCGGUAAAUAGGAGAGAGCUGCCAGAAAGGGAAUUUCGGGGAAUUGGGGAUAUUGGGGAAGUGGAAAUUUUCGUUUUCAUCGUUCGGGUCUUUCCUUUUGGGCAUUUCACGCCAAAGUGAAUAAACAACAGAUAGGGCCAACGCGCCGGAGGUGGAGAAUACGUACCGGCGAAUACCGAGCUGGGUGGCGAUUUCGUGAGUAAACCCCAAAAACAUAUCGGAAAUUAUGGCUGACGGCGGCGAAGGGUGGUUGCGGAACCAUUCCAAUAUGGGAUCUCGAAGUUUUCCGAGAUUGUACAUCAUGGAACGGAACCCAUUAGCAGGAAGGUCCUUGACGUUCUCUACGCCGGCAGGAAUUGAAGGGUGAGAUGGAAAAGGCAAAACGAGAGUUUUUAUUGAUGGAUUCCUGGAGAGAAGAGGGUCUAAGAUUGGGAGAUUUUUGGGGGUAACUAAAAUAGUGAUGGCUA
rnacentral:lncRNA from 1 species